UAGAGUAUGGUAGUACCGAAAACCAGAAUCGAAUCGCCGUAACCGAAGAAAAAUUGGAAAAGUUCGUGUGUGCAGUACCGAUUCGACAGCGUUUUGCGUAUCUCGAGAAAUGUUCGGAUUGUAAUAAUUCCUAGUUUGGAGCUUGGACGCGAAUAAGUUGCACGAAACUAAAAAAUUGACUUCGACAAUGAUUUUUAGAUAAUUGAUUUUAUAUAACAAAAUAAGUGCAAUAUAUUUUGAUUUAAUUAUA